rnacentral:rRNA from 1 species
UACGAAGGGGGCUAGCGUUGCUCGGAAUGACUGGGCGUAAAGGGCGCGUAGGCGGUUUGUACAGUCAGGUGUGAAAUUCCCGGGCUCAACCUGGGGGCUGCACUUGAUACGUAUGGACUGGAGUGGGGAAGAGGGUCGUGGAAUUCCCAGUGUAGAGGUGAAAUUCGUAGAUAUUGGGAAGAACACCGGGUGGCGAAGGCGGCGACCUGGUCCUUGACUGACGCUGAGGCGCGAAAGCAUGGGGAGCAAACAGG